GAUGAACGCUGGCGGCGUGCCUAACACAUGCCAGUCGAACGGAAGGACGAUAAGCUUGUGCUCUUGCUGGUGGCGGGUGGCGGGCGGGUAACGCGUGGAUCGCCAUCUUCUAUUUCGGGGAUAAUAACGGAAAGCCGGAUAUGAUACCACAGCAUAUGAUGUACCGUAGGGGGCAGAGGAAAAUGGCGGCCUUGGGGGCUGUAAUAGCUGGUUCCGCGCUGCAUGAGAUAGUUGGUAAGGUAACGGCCUACCAAGGCUACGAUGCGUAGCCGAGCUGAGAGGGUGAUCGGCCACACUGGAACUGAGACACGGUCCAGACUCCUACGGGAGGCAGCAGUAGGGAAUCUUCGGCAAUGGGCGAAAGCCUGACGGAGCAACGCCGCGUGAGUGACGAAGGUCUUCGGAUCGUAAAGCCCUGUUAUUGGGGAAGAACAGAUGUGGACUUAAAUGUGGCCAUCUUGACGGUACCUAAUCAAAAAGCACCGGCUAACUACGUG
rnacentral:rRNA from 1 species